UCGAGCGGACUGAUGGGAGCUUGCUCCCAUCAGUCAGCGGCGGACGGGUGAGUAACACGUGGGUAACCUGCCUGUAAGACUGGGAUAACUCCGGGAAACCGGGGCUAAUACCGGAUAACUCAUUUCCUCGCAUGAGGAAAUGUUGAAAGGUGGCUUUUAGCUAUCACUUACAGAUGGACCCGCGGCGCAUUAGCUAGUUGGUGAGGUAAUGGCUCACCAAGGCGACGAUGCGUAGCCGACCUGAGAGGGUGCUCAAACAUACUGGGACUGAGACACGGCCAANANUCNNACGGGAGGCAGCAGUAGGGAAUCUUCCGCAAUGGACGAAAGUCUGACGGAGCAACGCCGCGUGAGUGAUGAAGGUUUUCGGAUCGUAAAGCUCUGUUGUUAGGGAAGAACAAGUACCGUUCGAAUAGGGCGGUACCUUGACGGUACCUAACCAGAAAGCCACGGCUAACUACGUGCCAGCAGCCGCGGUAAUACGUAGGUGGCAAGCGUUGUCCGGAAUUAUUGGGCGUAAAGCGCGCGCAGGUGGUUCCUUAAGUCUGAUGUGAAAGCCCACGGCUCAACCGUGGAGGGUCAUUGGAAACUGGGGAACUUGAGUGCAGAAGAGGAAAGUGGAAUUCCAAGUGUAGCGGUGAAAUGCGUAGAUAUUUGGAGGAACACCAGUGGCGAANGCGACUUUCUGGUCUGUAACUGACACUGAGGCGCGAAAGCGUGGGGGAGCAAACAGGAUUAGAUACCCUGGGUAGUCCACGCCGUAAACGAUGAGUGCUAAGUGUUAGGGGGGUUUCCGCCCCUUA
rnacentral:rRNA from 1 species